rnacentral:rRNA from 1 species
UGUCUUUUUGAAAAUAAUAUAAAGUCUAGUCUGCCCACUGAUUAAAUAAUUGAAGGGCUGCAGUAUAUUGACUGUACAAAGGUAGCAUAAUCAUUAGUCAUUUAAUUGGUGACUUGUAUGAAAGAUUGGAUGAGAUAUAAACUGUCUUUAAUUUAAAUGUAAAAUUUAAUUUUUUUAUUAAAAAGUUAAAAUAUUUUAAAAAGACGAGAAGACCCUAUAGAGUUUAAUAAAUACUUAAAUUGAGAUUAUAUUUAAAAUAAACUUAAAAUUUAAUUGUUUAUUUUGUUGGGGUGACAAAAAAAUAUAUAAAACUUUUUUUAUUAAUAAAACAUAUAUAAGUGAUUAAAUGAUCCAUUAAUAUUGAUUAUAAGAAAAAAUUACCUUAGGGAUAACAGCGUAAUUUUUUUUUUUAGUUCAAAUAAGAAAAAGAGUUUGCGACCUCGAUGUUGGAUUAAGAUAAAAUUUAAAUGCAGAAGUU